GAACUGAAGAGUUUGAUCAUGGCUCAGAUUGAACGCUGGCGGCAGGCCUAACACAUGCAAGUCGAGCGGCAGCACGGGUACUUGUACCUGGUGGCGAGCGGCGGACGGGUGAGUAAUGCCUAGGAAUCUGCCUGGUAGUGGGGGAUAACGCUCGGAAACGGACGCUAAUACCGCAUACGUCCUACGGGAGAAAGCAGGGGACCUUCGGGCCUUGCGCUAUCAGAUGAGCCUAGGUCGGAUUAGCUAGUUGGUGAGGUAAUGGCUCACCAAGGCGACGAUCCGUAACUGGUCUGAGAGGAUGAUCAGUCACACUGGAACUGAGACACGGUCCAGACUCCUACGGGAGGCAGCAGUGGGGAAUAUUGGACAAUGGGCGAAAGCCUGAUCCAGCCAUGCC
rnacentral:rRNA from 1 species